rnacentral:lncRNA from 1 species
CCCCCUCUUGUCUCUCUAAAUCGCCACCGCCUGCCACCGGCAGGAAUCGCCUCACGAUGGUGGCAUUCUUGAAAUCCGGCCAAAUUCAUACGCUACACUCAUCACCUCACCCUCAUUGUUAAUCCUCCACCAAUUCUUCCCAAAAUCUUACCAAAUUCUUUCAACUGGAAAUCGAAAAAGAAGAGAAAACCCUAGUUUUCCCUUGUUCGAUUUCUUUGAAGUUUCAAGAUUCGAUUCGACCAAAACCUACGCUAGUCGAUUCUUCUCACUGAGAACAAUUGCUUAGCAUUAUUUUUGGUUCAUUUCAAAGAAGAUUUGGAUUUGGCAAGCCAACUCGAUUUGUCGAAGGGAUUUUACAAGCAUUCGUUAGUUGAUUUCUGUUCCCUCAUGUAAGUUAAUUCCAGUCAUGAGAUCAUUUGAACAAGUUCAGUUAGUUUUUUUAAUUAAUUAGUUUGUCUUGAUUAAUGUUUCUGUUUUUUUCUUCUUUCGAAAUUGCAUUUUUUGGGUUUUGUUUGGUCUGGGACCUACCUAGCAUGCAGACAUGCCCGUUAGCACAAAGGCCCAAGGAAAUUUUAGGGUUCAUUUGUUUAGAGGGUAAAAAUUCCAGCUUUGGUUGAAAGUAAAUGGCGUGUGUUUUAAGGGUAUUUAGGGGAACUGAAUAGAAAAAAUAUUGGCUAACUAUCUAGGAAGAUGCUAGCAAGGUGGGAAUUGAAUGAAUUACUAAAUGGGUUCAAAUAUUAGGGUCUGAAAUGAAAAGGAGAAAAUUGGGAAAAGGGUAAUAGUAAUAGUUUAAAAUUAAUUCUGUUGUCCUAAAGCUUGCUAUAAGAGGUUCAUUCUCCUAAUUUAUAGGUAAGGGAUGAAGACUUCUUUCUGAAAAUAUUGGUGCUCGUCUUCAACCUUUCUACUCUUUUCUUCUUCAGAAAGUUUAAGAGGAAUUCUCCUUUUGAUUCUUGUGAGUUAUGAGUCAAGAAAAUGACUUAAUCUGAAGCUAGCACUGGUUAUUGUUGCUGCAUUUUUUUGUUGCUAGUUUGACUGUUUCCUAUUUGUCCCUUGUCGAAUUCAAAGAUUUAUUCCUUUGCUUUGUUUGUUUGUAUCCAGGUAUGUUGGUUGAACAUCUCUUGGCUAUUAAAUUAUGAAUAUGAAGCUUUGGAAUAGCUGCCUCUUCAUUCUAAAAUGGCACAUAGAAUAUGUAGAUUUAUUUAUAUUUGCUGAUUAGUUCUUGUUGUCCUUACUUUGUCGUCUAUGUUCCCUUUUAGCUAGCUAGAAUCUAGUUGUGAAUGUAUGUAGUAAUUGUCCCAAUAUGAUUAAAUGUUUUAAGGAUUUGUUUUGUUAAAAAACUUUGUUGGAUUAUAGGAUUGUUAAAAGGUGAUGGCCAAAUAUGUACUGCAUGUUGAUGUUCUAGUGAAUUACAUUGUGUACGUGAGUUUUAUUUUCUCAAAGAUAUGAUGCAAAGUUGCUGUAUAAAUUAAUGUCUUGUCAAGCAUGAGUAUCAUGUUUCUAUUUGGUUUUACUUUAGUUAUCAUGGUGUCAAAUUGCUAGGACUUAUACAGUGUGAUGCCAAAAUUGCUUAAAUAGAUGUCAAUCAAAUUCGAAUUGGUUUGAAUAAGAGUUUAGAGAUUCAUGUAAUAGUUAACGUUAUUUUUUACUAUGUGAUAAUACUGCCUAUUAAUUAGCAUUUGUAAUAUGUGGUUAAGCACCUUGAUUUCCAGAAUUUGUGUAAAGUUUUUUUUGGUUAUUUUUAGUUAGUCACAAGGCCAACUAGUUCUAGAAAUGAAUUGGGCCAGGAGUUGGGCUUAGAUGGAUGGCCUAGCCAGAAUCACCUUUGGUGUGAUUUUGGGCCAUUGUAUGGCACGCUGGGCUCAAUUUUAGGGCCCAAACCAUGUUAGCAAUUAUGUUUUCUUUAAACUUUACAAUGUUCAUGAUCAAACAGUUCACUGCGCCUCCCACAUAUUUAAUUCAUCAUAGCGUGGAAUUGGUGUUGAUACCCAAAUUUUCUCUAUAUAUUUUUAAUAUUCAAAAUAAUUUCAAAAUACCAUGUGUAUGCAUAUAUAAGUAUGUCCAAAUGUUUUACUUUUUUUCUCCUAAAUUUUAAAUUAAUUUAUUGCCCUAUUUUAUCUAUGAAAACACAAUAAUUAUUCUCCUAAAUUAUCAUUUUGAUGAUUCAUUUAUUGGAUUUGUAUAUUUAUACUAAAAUGUGGCUAAUAUAAUUUUUGCAUAUGUUUGCAAAGUUAUUUACUUAGUAGUAUUUUUAAAGAUAAAUUGUAUGUAGUUGCAAUAUUAACCUCUUUCAGGAUUUUAUUACAUUUAUAGUCAUAAAAAUUAGGUCUAGUAUUUUAAAUAGUUAAUUAUGUGAUAUAGAUCAUUUUGGUUCUUUUAAUUUAUUCCCAGAAUUAAUUUAUUAAUUUUUUAUAAAUCAAAUGGGGAAAACUGACUAUUUAAGUUGUAGCCAAAUUUGGUUCUCAAUUGUGGCAAAAAUCGGACCAAUUUCCAGCUCAAUUUUUAUUUCUUAUAAUCCACUCACCUAACCCAGACCCUAUACACGUCUACCCGACCCAGAAAACCAAUAAGAUCAUGACCGUUGAUCUGAAUGAUCAACUGCCAGAAUUUGUUCUUACCAUUUUAAUUCAUAUGACCCCCCAACCCUAAGCUAUUUUUCGAAGACACCGCCUUCAGAUGCUCUCAUCUUCUCACCUCUCUCAAACCUAACCCUAGACUCCGUCUCCUUGAUCCCUCAUCUGCCGGUUGCUCUCUUGCAAGUGUGAGCCUAGCUCCCUCUCCUUGAUCUCUUCUUUUUGUUUUAAUCUCUUUGAAUUUGUCUCUGCGAUUGGUCUUUCCUGCAGCUGGACCGCACCUUCGCUUCGCACCUCUGGUUUGUAUGCAAAAUAAAAUAUUGAAUAAGGGUUUAAUAAGGAGAUCUCUUAAUUACUUGAUCAAGGAACAGUGCUUUCGAACAUUACUUACGAGAUCUUUAGCAGUCGAUCGUUCAUUCUCCCUCCCCAGUGGCUUUCGAAAGCUCGACAUGAAAGAAUAAAGAAAAUAGGAAAAAAGAGUACGGGGAUAUUUAGCUAUUUAGCCUUAGAGAAAGGUGACUUGGUAAGACCAGAAUCUGGAACAGAGAUUGGAUGAAGAAUUGCUUUUUCUUUAGCGGGCAAGGGUCCUGGGCCAUGUCGAUUUGGACCUAGGGUUUCCGGUUCUGUUGUUCGAGGCUUCUCUGGUGUGAUUUUGGGUAAACUUACAUGGUGAAGUUACAACAGGUUCUUUCGAUUUCUAUUUGGGUUUCCUUUUGAAACCCUAAAUCUCUCCUGAAUCUCUCAAAACUAUGCUAUUCUCAUGCUUUAAACAUGUUUUCUUAUAUGAUUUGCUUAUUCUCGAACUUCUUCUGAAAGAUAAUCUACUUUGAACCGUUUUUACUUUCUUUGAAAAGCUAGAGUUUCUCAGAGUUCUUUUGCGCAUGUUCUAACCGAUUUCUUUAUGAUUAAACCUUUUGCUCAUUUAUUUUGACCUAUUUCUUAUGCUCAUAUUAACUUGACUAUGCUAAAAUCCCUAAUUUCUAAUGAUUUUCUUCGCUUUGUAUGUGUGUUAGCCUGUUUUUCUUUGCCUUGAUUCUGUGUGUUAAGCAUGAUUCCUCCGCUUUGGUUAUGUGUGUUAGCUUGAUUUUCUCUACCUUGGUUCCGUGUUAACAUGACUCUCUUUGCCUUGGUUCUAUGUACUAGCCUGUUUACCUGAUUCUUGUUGAGGUCACCGGGCCUCGAAUAUGUUCUGCUGAAUCUUAGCCUACUUAUACCCUCUCAGAAUGAUUGUGUUUGCUCAUAUCUUGUUUCUUUCUAUCUAUAUGAAUCAUUUUGUUUACUACUCUUCUUCAUUCACCUCUAUUUAUAUGUUGAAAAUACAGGACCAUGACUCCCCAUGAUUGAUUCUGAUUUUCUUUAAUUGUGGUAAUCGAAAUAUUUUCUGUCAAAGCCCUAGAAUUCCACUCGCCUGUUUAAAUUAAUUGAUUUCAUUACCUUAUCUGCUAUGGUACCUUGUUUUACUAAGCUUUUCCUUAAUUGGGGUUUUUGCUGAAUUUGGUCCUAAUGGACUACUCCAUGCAUAGUGAUCCUUGACUCCUUCCUUAUUUAAUCAUGCACUAAUCUACUAAAUCUUUCCAUUUGAUCUUGAUUCCCUUAACUUAAUGGAGCACUUCCUUGAUUCUCUGAUUGAUUGAUUUUGAGUUCUUAAAUUAAUAUACUAACCUUAUGUCAUUACCUACUUUCAAAUAUAAAUACACUAAGCCUUCCACAAACAAAGGCAAGGAACACUUUUAGUCCUGAACUCACACUUACACUCAAACACUCUCUUGCUUUACGUCUUGCACUGUGGCUUGUUUAGCCGACUGAAAGCCAAGGCUAUAUUUCGAAGUCCUGCUACUUUUCUUUACUGCAUCUUGCUUCUUUAACUGGUAUGUUCUAAUUCAACUUUCAGUAUCAGCAACAACAUAGUUACUUGAUAUUCUUGCAUUCUUGUCUGGUUACUACUUGUGUCUAAUUCGGUACCUUCAUUUAACAUGCUGUAAUUUCUGAAUCAAUGUAGUAUGAAUCCUAAUCUCUACCCUAAUGUAUUUUAAUACUUAUGGGUUUUUUGGGGCAUGACAACAUGGAUUAUUGCUGAGAAUGACUCAAACUUGAUCCUCCUAGGAUUAUAACCUCAAUGUUGCUCCUAUAUGUUGUUUGCUCGGGUAGAUUUGCUAGCAUGGAAUCACUCCCUAUUGUUGUGCAUGCCCAGAAUUAAGUCAUGUCUCUGCCCCUUGGUGUGAAUUAUCCACUCCUUGAAGUGCUAAUAGUUGUUUCCCAUUACCCUUUCCCUCUCCUUUAUUCCCUCAGUUUUUUUUAAAAACUCAAUUCCUGCACUUUCACUCUCCUCGUAUAGUUAAGCUCUGCACCCCUCAUGUGAGCCUUGCCUUGGAUUAUAAGACAAACGGGUAGGAAGAAGGUUGUACCCAGUGUUGACAAGACUAGUCACUUCUGGGCUGACUUCCAGGAUGAUGAUAGUCCUUACAAGUGCCAAGCUCAGCAUAUGUGGCACUGCAAGAUC